AUGAUUCUGACUCUGACUCCGAUGGUGAUUCAGACUUUGGGAAUUUUCCAGACUCUGAAGACAGUCACGGUUCUGGAGAAAGUCCAAUUUCUAAAGGGGAAAGUUCUGGUGUCCGAAGUUCUGAAGUUCAAGUUGAGAGACAACAUAGAGUCAGAAGCAUCCCAAGAAGAUUUGCAGAGUUUGACAUGCUGCAAGACACUGAAGUAG